CAGGUGCUUUGCUUGCAUGCUAUAAUGAGAGGGGUUUUUAAACAAAGAAACCGUUGUCACUUUGCCCUGCAUUACUGAAAAUCGCUUUGAUAUGCCUUUUCCUUUUAGGCGAAUGGUUUACCUACCCAGUGGAUAUAAGUUGAUUUUGGAUAACAUUAUGAAUGCUCUUAAAACUUUGUUGACUGUGCAGCUAACUUAUUUUUAACAUAUGUCGUGGUAGGCAUGAAGCAGUAGGCAGUGCACUUGAGUAAUACGCAAUGUGACAAAAAUAAUAGUACUUAAUAUUACAGGCUGCAUACGUUUACAUGUCUCUAAAAGUAUGUGUACAAGUUUUUGUUUCACUCUAACAAAACAUCCGGGCCAUACUCACUAUGUGGGAACAAAUAGCUUCUGCCCUUUUUAACUCAUCUCAUCUCUUGGUGGUCAAAAGAAGCAUCGAUAGUGCAUAUCCUUCCUUUGUCAGGCUACCUAUCUGAAACACAGAAUCCCGUUCAUCUUAACUGUGUGCGAGUUGGUCCCUUUUUAAUAAGUUUCUGUGUUUGUGUGUGUGGGGGUGUGUGCAUGUGGACGGAGGGGGGGCACACCACCUGUCACCCCGUGUGACUUGUAGGUUUUCUGUUGUUUGUUCCACAGAUACCUCGUAAUCUGAAGAAACCAGCAGAAUGCAUCAGUGUCAGAGUUGGCUCCUGUAGCGCAUGCAAGUUGAUCUUAAGCAGAAAACCAGAAGUGGCAGUGGUCUCCAGAAGAGACCAAGGACCCCAAGCUCUCUCUGACACAAGCAGGAAGGGCACUGUGGUGCAUUGAAAACUUGCUCCAGUAGUGCAUUGCCAGUGCACUAUGCUGCUGUUUCAUCAAGGAGAAAGGAGGUGACCAGCCCCAGAGGAACUUCAUGCUCUACAGUACGCCUACGGAGAACACCUCAAGGCGCAUCCAAGCAACGUCCUGGAGGCACAGUGCCACCGGAAUCUCAAUCGCCAUUUGGGGGACCUGCUUAAAGUCCUUAAGAAAUGAUUCCAGUGUGAGGCUUUCAAAACGGCA